CAAUAUAAGUGAUGGCGACCGGCGCACGGGUGAGUAACACGUAUCCAACCUGCCGAUAACUCGGGGAUAGCCUUUCGAAAGAAAGAUUAAUACCCGAUGGUAUAAUAAAACCGCAUGGUUUAAUUAUUAAAGAAUUUCGGUUAUCGAUGGGGAUGCGUUCCAUUAGGCAGUUGGUGAGGUAACGGCUCACCAAACCUUCGGUGGAUAGGGGUUCUGAGAGGAAGGUCCCCCACAUUGGAACUGAGACACGGUCCAA
rnacentral:rRNA from 1 species